rnacentral:rRNA from 1 species
GGCAAGAGGGUGAAGCAAAUGAAAACUACCUAUCUAGUCAAGGUUAAAUGAGGCCGGAAGCAACGAACAACAAUUCCGGUAAAUCCCCAUAGCAUAUUUUAGAUUUGGUACUGUUCUGCCCUAAACAAUAUUUUAGAGUUGUUAAACAUGCAAGAUGAGUGCACCAUGUUAAACUAGGCAAAAUUCUACCCCAUUUACAUAUAAAGUUUAUUUAAAUCGGAGCUACGGUUAUUUAGUUAUGAAU